CUCCAGGUAGCUUAAUUGGUUAGAGCAAUCGACUCAUAAUCGAGAGGUUGUGAGUUCAAGUCUCACCCCGGGGA
rnacentral:tRNA from 1 species